UACAGAGGGGGCAAGCGUUGUUCGGAAUUACUGGGCGUAAAGGGCGCGUAGGCGGCCUGUUAAGUCGAACGUGAAAUCCCCGGGCUCAACCCGGGAACUGCGUCCGAUACUGGCAGGCUUGAAUUCGGGAGAGGGAUGCGGAAUUCCAGGUGUAGCGGUGAAAUGCGUAGAGAUCAGGAGGAACACCGAUGGCGAAGGCAGCAUCCUGGCCGAGUACUGACGCUGAGGCGCGAAAGCGUGGGGAGCGAACGGG
rnacentral:rRNA from 1 species